UAGUAUAAUUUUAGCCGUAGAAAAGCUGAAGUGGUGGCUAUCCUGGAAGGGGAUGGUGCUUAUGAGUAAAUUUUAUUAACUCGUAUUCGCAUAUCCUGAUAGAAAGGAGAAGCCUUCGUGUCUGUUGCAGAUGCGUUGCAACUAAUGUUAGAAUUCGGCACAUUUGUCGUUACUCUAAU
rnacentral:sRNA from 1 species